GCACAUUCCAUGUAAGCCUAGCAAAAUGCAGUUCCUUCCAUAUUUCUGUUCCAUUGCCUUUUCCUACAAAGUUUUGACAUUGCUUAAUUUUACCCAGUGGGGAAUGUGCUUUGAAUUUUUAGAAUACUUUGACAAUUGAAAAUAGAGUAGAAUCAUUUUUAAUCUGUUUCAUGAGAAAUGAAAUGUUAAAGAUAGGGUUGAUCUAUACAUACAUAUGUUGGGGGUUUUAUUUUAAGUUUUGCUGAAGCAGUAGUAGAAAACCAGUGACCUCUCCACAGAUAGUUAGGUAUCCUCAUCUUCUCAGAGGUCUGUACCCAUGUGUAUGUGUCAGUGGGGUACACACUCUUGGAAGAUACCAUACCAAUGAGUGUCUGGUGUUCACCCUCUCUAAGAUAUGAAUUUGAGUUCCCAAAUUGUCAGGAACACUUUUUUCUGUGUCAAACUACUUGUUAGCUACUGAAAAAUUUUAGAACUCAGGUCUUGAUUUGAAGUGAGGAACAUAAUAUGGUUCAUACAAAGUUCAGGUGCUGUAAGAAAGAUGGGAACAAUAGUGUGUUGCCGCCUUAUUUUUUUAUGGGAAAAUGGGGGGAAAAUGAAGGAAAAAUGAAGGGAAAACCCAAGAUGAUAGUGAUGAAAAUUAUUUUGGGACGAUACCACUUUAAUAGUAUAGUCUUUUUAAAAUUGUCCUUUAUCUGUGAACUGUUUCUUGUCUCUUUGUUUCCCACCCUACACUAAUUGGAAUCACUACAAAGCCCAGUCAUGAAACUACUUAACUGAAAGUAAAUGUAUUUACUUUGUAAUCAGAAGAACCUUCAAAUUCCCAGUGUUCUUUUAUGUUUAUGUCCCAGGUUUAUGUUCAGGAAACGUUAGGUUGUAUGAAAAUCUUUAAUAUAGGCUGUACCAAAACCGAUUGCUCUUUUCUUUUGUAGGUUCCUUUGAUUCAUGUCCCUCUAUAAUUGCUAUUUGUUAAAACAGAGGAUGAAAAGGCCAUAGCCCAUCACCAAAAAUACACAGAACCCUCUUGACCUAUGAAGUCAUUUACACUUACUGUGUGAGCUGAUUAGGUUGUCAGGUGGUAAAAGCCAGUAAUCUGUCUCCAGGUGAAUGUAAUCUGCUUCCCAGGACUUUACCCAGAGGACACGUUCCCCAGGUGGGCAGAGGCCUGUUGAUCUCUAGCCCAGAGGUCCCGGGCUCUGCACGAUACUCAGGUCCCUGUGUGUACCUCCCAUUUAAUGGAGCUGUUUAAGAGAGUUUCUGAAAGAACAUCACUCCUGCUUAUGGGAGUAGUCCAGGAGUCCUAUGGAAGAAAGAAAACUAGACAAGUCUUGGCAGCCAUGGUAUUUUUAUUCUUAUCCAGAUGGAUUGGAAAUGUAUUUGAAAAUUUGAAUGCUAGUAUGUCAUAGAGCUACCGUGAUACCAUAGAGUCAUUGAAUUAUUACUCCUCAUUCAAGUGAGGGCUUCCUUAUACUACUGUAGAGUGUAUGUGCAAUAAGUUGAUGAAUUCAUUUUCUUGAUGUAUAGAAGAGCCAACACAAGCAGCUUGGUAAUCAUUGGGUGCUAUUUUAAUUGUUUGUAGCGAGUGCUAUUUUCUAGGAGAUGGAGCCAGUUAGAUUUGGCUGAUCUGCUGAAUAUCAGAUGAUGCCCUUCUUUCCAUGUCAGCUCUCAGCAAAAGCAGGUACUUGGAAGCCACAGGCUCCCCUCCUCUGUCUACUCAAUAAUCACUAAUGAAGAGACCUCCACAAGGGAGCACUUGGCUGUUGUCGAUAAACAUACCAAUUAUUAAAUAGUCUCCAAGCCAUUCAGUGAUGUCUGCAGCAUCACUCUAGAACUGUCUUGUGUCACUUUUUUACUUCCCUCUGGGCGGGGCCUCUCAGACUCCCUCGUUCAUGGAGGCAAGUUAAUCUUUCUCUCCAGUUAGUGACUUUUGCCCCAUAGUUGGGUAAGCACUUCCUAGACUGAGAAAAGCAGCUACAGUAAAUCCUGCUCUGUUUCCCUCAUUUGGUGACCAUUCAAUCACACAUAAGCUCCUUGUAUUCUAAAUUUCAUGCACUUCUCCCAGACGCUAUAGGGUUUUCUCUCACUGUUGCCAGUGGAGGUCAUCCAGACAGUGAGUUCAUAUCUUAUGGUUUUGUGCAAUCAUUGUCGUAUUGUAGUCCUAAGACUCAUUAUAGUGUAUUUUUGAUAUUUUUGAAAUGUGUUAAAUUUUUUAAUUCAAUAAUAUGAGCCAGAGCAUGUUGCAGCAAAUCUAUUGUUUGUAA
rnacentral:lncRNA from 1 species